GGGAUAGCGGCGGGAGACCCGGGCGUUCGGGGUCUCCGGGCGGUGGGCUGUGGCGGCGAGGAGGGAACAGGGUCGGGAUGGGCGGAGGCGGGGAGCGAGGAGUGAGUUUCCUCUCUUUGUGUGCAGUUUGGCUGAUCCCAGCUGCGUUUUCAGGAUGGUAGCCAUACAAGGAUGGAGAUGUGGCCGUUGGUACCUAGGUGGUUUGAAGAUGGAUGGACCGAGGCUCUACACAUCACCUUCCUGUCCUUCCCCCUGCACCCCCACAUCCCAGACCGUCCAUAUUUCCUCUCUUCCCGCUGACCUUGUUUCCUUCAAAGGAGAGUCCCCUGACCUACCUUAGAUGAAGAACACGUGUGAAGGCAACUGUUCUAGACUACGGGUGGGAGCAUCAGUGCUUUGACAAUACCCAGAUGGUAUAGCGGCUGCUACAAUUCAGGGGUAGGGAUGUUAAUAGAGCCCUGGCCUUACCCGCUACCGGGUACCAACGACUUCUUGUGGUUUUCCUCCAUCCUGUCCACAACUCUGUGAGUAGCCUCUUUAUGAAAACU